UGGGGAAUAUUGGACAAUGGGCGAAAGCCUGAUCCAGCCAUGCCGCGUGUGUGAAGAAGGUCUUCGGAUUGUAAAGCACUUUAAGUUGGGAGGAAGGGCAGUAAGCGAAUACCUUGCUGUUUUGACGUUACCGACAGAAUAAGCACCGGCUAACUCUGUGCCAGCAGCCGCGGUAAUACAGAGGGUGCAAGCGUUAAUCGGAAUUACUGGGCGUAAAGCGCGCGUAGGUGGUUCGUUAAGUUGAAUGUGAAAGCCCCGGGCUCAACCUGGGAACUGCAUCCAAAACUGGCGAGCUAGAGUAGGGCAGAGGGUGGUGGAAUUUCCUGUGUAGCGGUGAAAUGCGUAGAUAUAGGAAGGAACACCAGUGGCGAAGGCGACCACCUGGGCUCAUACUGACACUGAGGUGCGAAAGCGGGGGGAGCAAACAGG
rnacentral:rRNA from 1 species